AACCUCGCCCGACCCGCAGGGCGCAGGGACACGGCACAGCAUCCUCCUUUCUCUCCGCAGAUACCUGCAAACAUCGCUGUGUUGUUGCUGAUUCAUUGCCAGCCAGGCCUGGGGGACCAUUCGGUGACCUCCAGACUCCAGCAGCGCUAUCAGAGCCUAUUUCCUGCUCCCUGUUCCUAUUCCCUUGCUCUUCUGUUAACACCCAGCCGUGGCACCACUACACUUAGCCUAGCGGCGCCUUCCCCGGGCCGGGCAGUGUGGCAGCACCGUGCACCGUGCGGCUGGAGCACAUCAGCCCAAAACGAUGCGCAGAGCCCAAAUUUCACACGCCAGUUCCAUGCUGCUUUCACUGAGGAUUUAAAGCCCUCUCCAAAGGUCAGCGCUACAGUGAUGAGAAUUUUCCAGCUGAAAUGUUUUCACCGGGAAGGAAAUGAAAAGGAGAGGGGUUCUCUUCUCCUGGAAGUUCGAAAUUCGGCUGCUUUUCAUGCAGGCAGGAAAUCAUAUUCUUUGUGGAAGGGGAAAAAAAAAAAACAUAAAAAUAAAAAGAAUCUCCAUGAAAAUGUUAAUGGAGUUUUGAAGCUUCACAGAGGAAG
rnacentral:lncRNA from 1 species